rnacentral:rRNA from 1 species
UACGGAGGGUGCAAGCGUUAGUCGGAAUUAUUGGGCGUAAAGGGUGCGUAGGCGGGUAUAUAAGUCAGACGUGAAAUUCCGAGGCUCAACCUCGGAGCUGCAUCUGAAACUGUAUAUCUUGUGGGAUGGCGGAGAAAAUGGAACUCCACGUGUAGCGGUGAAAUGCGUAGAUAUGUGGAAGAACACCUGUGGCGAAAGCGGUUUUCUAGCCUCCCCCAGACGCUGAGGCACUAAAGCUAGGGGAGCAAACAGG